GACGAACGCUGGCGGCGCGCUUAACACAUGCAAGUCGAACGCUGAAGCUCAGCUUUUGUUGGGUGGAUGAGUGGCGAACGGGUGAGUAACACGUGAGUAACCUGCCUCCUUCUUUGGGAUAACGCCCGGAAACGGGUGCUAAUACUGGAUAUUCACUGGUCUUCGCAUGGGGGUUGGUGGAAAGGGUUUUUCUGGUGGGGGAUGGGCUCGCGGCCUAUCAGCUUGUUGGUGGGGUGAUGGCCUACCAAGGCUUUGACGGGUAGCCGGCCUGAGAGGGUGACCGGUCACAUUGGGACUGAGAUACGGCCCAGACUCCUACGGGAGGCAGCAGUGGGGAAUAUUGCACAAUGGGCGCAAGCCUGAUGCAGCGACGCCGCGUGAGGGAUGGAGGCCUUCGGGUUGUGAACCUCUUUCGCUCAUGGUCAAGCCGCAACAAUGGUUGUGGUGAGGGUAGUGGGUAAAGAAGCGCCGGCUAACUACGUG
rnacentral:rRNA from 1 species